GGACUAGUAUGAAUGGCACCACGAGGGCUCAACUGUCUCCUUCCUCCAAUCAAUGAAAUUGAUCUUCUCGUGAAGAAGCGAGAAUAUUAUUAUUAGACGAGAAGACCCCAUGGAGCUUUAAACUUAUUACCAAUUACUUAACCGCUAAACCAUAAUAUGUAGUAAAAAUGUUCUUAAUAGUUUUCGGCUGGGGUGGCCCUGGAGUAAAAUAAACCCUCCAGAAUGAACGGAAUAAGACCCUAAUCUAAGAAUUACAGCUCAAAGAAUCAAAAAACUGACAUUAUUGAUCCAAUUAAUUGAUUAACGAAACAAGUUACCCUGGGGAUAACAGCGCAAUCCAUUUUGAGAGCCCCUAUCAACAAAUGGGUUUACGACCUCGAUGUUGGAUCGGGGUAUCCCGGUGGCGCAGCCGCUACUAAUGGUUCGUUUGUUCAACGAUUAACAACCCCACGUGAUCUG
rnacentral:rRNA from 1 species